GAUGAACGCCGGCGGCGUGCCUAAUACAUGCAAGUCGAGCGAACGGACGAGAAGCUUGCUUCUCUGAUGUUAGCGGCGGACGGGUGAGUAACACGUGGAUAACCUACCUAUAAGACUGGGAUAACUUCGGGAAACCGGAGCUAAUACCGGAUAAUAUUUCGAACCGCAUGGUUCAAAAGUGAAAGACGGUCUUGCUGUCACUUAUAGAUGGAUCCGCGCUGCAUUAGCUAGUUGGUAAGGUAACGGCUUACCAAGGCAACGAUGCAUAGCCGACCUGAGAGGGUGAUCGGCCACACUGGAACUGAGACACGGUCCAGACUCCUACGGGAGGCAGCAGUAGGGAAUCUUCCGCAAUGGGCGAAAGCCUGACGGAGCAACGCCGCGUGAGUGAUGAAGGUCUUCGGAUCGUAAAACUCUGUUAUUAGGGAAGAACAUAUGUGUAAGUAACUGUGCACAUCUUGACGGUACCUAAUCAGAAAGCCACGGCUAACUACGUG
rnacentral:rRNA from 1 species